rnacentral:tRNA from 1 species
UCCAGGGUAGACUAGUGUACAUGGCAUCUGCCCGGUAAGCGGAAAGCUGGGGGUUCGUUUCCCAUCCCUGGAC